AUGAACGCUGGCGGCGUGCCUAACACAUGCAAGUCGAACGAAGCACCUUACCUGAUUCUUCGGAUGAAAGUUUGGUGACUGAGUGGCGGACGGGUGAGUAACGCGUGGGUAACCUGCCCUGCACAGGGGGAUAACAGCUGGAAACGGCUGCUAAUACCGCAUAAGCGCACGAGGAGACAUCUCCUUGUGUGAAAAACUCCGGUGGUACAGGAUGGGCCCGCGUCUGAUUAGCUGGUUGGCAGGGUAACGGCCUACCAAGGCAACGAUCAGUAGCCGGUCUGAGAGGAUGAACGGCCACAUUGGAACUGAGACACGGUCCAAACUCCUACGGGAGGCAGCAGUGGGGAAUAUUGCACAAUGGGGGAAACCCUGAUGCAGCAACGCCGCGUGAGUGAAGAAGUAUUUCGGUAUGUAAAGCUCUAUCAGCAGGGAAGAUAAUGACGGUACCUGACUAAGAAGCUCCGGCUAAAUACGUG
rnacentral:rRNA from 1 species